rnacentral:rRNA from 1 species
CUGUUCCCAUGCCGAACACAGCAGUUAAGGCCGCAAACGCCGAAAGUACUUGGGGGGAGGCCCCCUGGGAGGAUAGGAAGCCGCUGAUU